rnacentral:misc_RNA from 1 species
GAUGAAGAACGCAGCGGAAUGCGAUACGUAAUGUGAAUUGCAGAUUUCAGUGAAUCAUCGAAUCUUUGAACGCACAUUGCGCCCGCUAGUAUUCUGGCGGGCAUGCCUGUUCGAGCGUCAUUUCAACCAUCAAGCCCUAGGCUUGCGUUGGAGCCCUGCGGCUGCCGCAGGCUCCCAAAUCCAGUGGCGGGCUCGUCGUCGUACCGAGUGCAGUAAACAUCCUCGCUCAGGGAACGUGACGGGUUCUUGCCGUGACACCCCCCACAUAUCAAGGUUGACCUCGGAUCAGGUAGGAAUACCCGCUGAACUUAAGCAUAUCAAUAAGCGGAGGA